rnacentral:rRNA from 1 species
GUACGUAGGGACCGAGCGUUGUCCGGAAUCAUUGGGCGUAAAGAGCGUGUAGGCGGCUUGCUAAGUCAUGUGUGAAAUCCCUCGGCUCAACCGGGGAACGACGCAUGAAACUGGCAAGCUAGAGUACCAAAGAGGGGGGUGGAAUUCCUGGUGUAGCGGUGGAAUGCGCAGAUAUCAGGAGGAACACCUAUAGCGAAGGCAGCUCGCUGGGACGGUACUGACGCUGAGGCGCGAAAGCGUGGGGAGCGAACAGG